GUGAUGAAAAAAAAGAAAGAGGACUUCCUGCUGGGGAUGUUCUAGAGCCAGUACAGAAGCCUCAUGAAGGUCCUGGAGAAAUGGGGAAACCAGUCGUCAUUCCUAAAGAGGACCAAGAAAAGAUGAAAGAGAUGUUUAAAAUCAAUCAGUUCAAUUUAAUGGCAAGUGAGAUGAUUGCACUCAACAGAUCUUUACCAGAUGUUCGGUUAGAAGGGUAAGUACCGGAGUUCCCGUCGUGGCGCAGUGGUUAACGAAUCCGACUAGGAACCAUGAGGUUGCGGGUUCAGUCCCUGCCCUUGCUCAGUGGGUUAACGAUCCGGCGUUGCCGUGAGCUGUGGUGUAGGUUGCAGACGCGGCUCGGAUCCCNNNNNNNNNNNNNNNNNNNNNNNNNNNNNNNNNNNNNNNNNNNNNNNNNNNNNNNNNNNNNNNNNNNNNNNNNNNNNNNNNNNNAAAAAAAAAAAAAAAAAAAAAAAAAAAAGAAGGGUAAGUACCUAGUGUGGUCCUGCUACAAUUUAAUUUGAAUGAAAAGUAUGUUCUGAAUUCCCAAUAAAUUGCACUUUGGUGCUGACUGUUCUAAAGUGAUGUUACAUCACUAAGUUACUACUUACCCUACUUAAGAAAUAAUUAAAUACUGAUGAAACAGUACCUCAAAUUCUAGUGAUCAUUGGGACUAUGCAUUUUAGGUUUUGGAACAUAAUUAUUUAUCUUGAUAGAUUAGUAGGGAUUUUAAACUUCAUUAUUACUGGAACACUUGCAUAAUUAAUGUUUUAAAAAAGUGGUUUUAAGUUGUGUGUAGUUUAAAACAGUGAGGUAUACAGUCAUAAGCAUAUAGAUUACUGAAUUUUUAAUGUAUGUACGUGUCUAACCACCAUCCAGAUCAAGUUAUAGAACAUUUCCAUCACCCCUGAAAGUUCUGUGAUGUUCCUUUCCAGUCAGUACUCCCACCCUCAGGGGAAGCCAUUGUUUUGAUCUCUAAACAUUGAAUAGCUUUGUCUUUCUUUGAACUUUUUAUAAAUCGUUCCAUACUGUAUUUUUCUUUUGUGUCUUUGAGAUUGAUAUUGUUGCAUAUAUCAGAGAUUUAUUCUUUUCCAUUGCAGUGUGACUUGUUGUAUGAAUAUAUCAUAGUUUAUUUACACAUUGAUAUUUGGGUUGUUUCCCCUUUUUGACUAUUAAAAUAAACCUAUUGUGACAUUCCUGUACAUGGUUUUAGGGGAAUUUAGCUCUCAUUUCUAUUUAUUAUAUGUUGAGAAAAGGAGUAGGGUAUACACUUAAAUAGCGUUAGCACGUGCUGCCAGACAUUUUUCAAGAUGGUCGUACCAACGUAUACUCCUGUCAGCAGGAGAAGAGGCCCAGUUGCUCCAUAUGGAAAAGGUAAUAUGAGGUAUAUGAACUAGAGGACAAUAAGCCCAGUAAAAAGCAAGGGAACUGAUGGGGUGUGUGGGAUUGAAUUAGUAAUAUGUAUAUAGAAAAUCAUCACCAAAAAAAAAAAAACUAAUGCAGAUCCUUAACCCACUGCACCACAAGGGAACUCUUCCAUCUCUAUGCUUUUAGCCUUUUUUUUUUUUUUUUUUUUAGUUUUGAAAAAAUUUUUAUAAUGGAAAACUUCAAGUAUGUACAAAAAUAGAGAUAAUGGAAUGAACGCCAACAUAUUCGUCACCUUGCUCCAACAAUUCCUAAAUGUUCAGUUUUGUAGCCUCAUUUAUAUCCUCUAAGAUGUCCGGCAACAGUCUCCAUCUCCUAUUUACACUCUUCUGUAUGAUCCUUCCUGUGUUGUACUAGGGCUGGUCUGUAUGACUAUCAGAACACAGUACAAGUGAUGUGGUGUUGCUUUUAGGAGUAGGCUAUAAAGUACACUGUGGUUUCCAAUUUGGUCUUUUAUUCUCACUUGAAUCAUUGACUCUGGGGUAAACCAGCUGACAUGACAGGAGUGGCCGUAUAGAGAAACCCAUGCAAUUUGUAGAGUGUGAGUGUGAUUAGAAGCAGAUUCGCUAAAACAUGGCACAAAUGAACUUAUCUACAAAACAGAAACAGACUCACAGACGUAGAGAACAGAUUUACAGUUGCCAAGGCGGAGGGAAGGUAGUGGAGGGAUGGACUGGGAGUUUGGCAUUAGCAGAUGCAAACGAUUAUAUAUAGAAUGGAUAAACAACAAGGUCCUACUGUAUAAUACAGGGGACCAUAUUCGAUAUCCUGUGGUAAACCGUAAUGGAAAAGAAUAUAUAUAUGUGUGUGUAAGUAUAGCUGAAUCACUUUGCUGUACAGCAGAAAUUAACAGAAUAUUGUAAAUCAGCUCUACUUCAAUAAAUUAAAAAAAUAAGCAGAUUUCCCCAACCCCAAAGACAUACCAUUUGUAAAUAUUACAAUAUCUGUCCCUGAAAGAUAGGACUCAGAGAACAAAAAAA
rnacentral:lncRNA from 1 species